rnacentral:rRNA from 1 species
UACGUAGGGGGCAAGCGUUGUCCGGAUUUAUUGGGCGUAAAGAGCGUGUAGGCGGCCAGACAGGUCCGUUGUGAAAACUCGAGGCUCAACCUCGAGACGCCGAUGGAAACCGUCUGGCUAGAGUCCGGAAGAGGAGAGUGGAAUUCCUGGUGUAGCGGUGAAAUGCGCAGAUAUCAGGAAGAACACCCGUGGCUAAGGCGGCUCUCUAGUACGGUACUGACGCUGAGACGCGAAAGCGUGGGGAGCGAACAGG